rnacentral:rRNA from 1 species
CCUACGGGGUGCAGCAGUGAGGAAUAUUGGUCAAUGGCCGGAAGGCUGAACCAGCCAUGCCGCGUGAAGGUCAGUGCCCUAUGGGCGUUAAACUUCUUUUGUGCGGGAGCAAUAAUGGUCACGUGUGGCCAGACGAGAGUACCGUACGAAUAAGCAUCGGCUAACUCCGUGCCAGCAGCUGCGGUAAUUCGGGGGAUGCAAGCGUUAUCCGGAUUUAUGGGGUUUAAAGGGUGCGUAGGCUGUGAGGUAAGUCAGCGGUGAAAUGCCCCCGCUCAACGGGGUGAAAUGCCAUUGAUACUGUCUUGCUGGAAUGCCGAUGCCGAAGGAGGAAUGGGUAGUGUAGCGGUGGAAUGCA